rnacentral:rRNA from 1 species
CCUACGGGAGGCAGCAGUGAGGAAUAUUCCACAAUGGGGGAACCUGAUGGAGCGAUGCCGCGUGCAGGAAGACGCUUUUCGGAGUGUAAACUGCUUUUAAUAGGGAAGAUUAUGACGGUACCUAUCGAAUAAGGACCGGCUAACUACGUGCCAGCAGCCGCGGUAAUACGUAGGGUCCAAGCGUUAUUCGGAAUUACUGGGCGUAAAGCGUACGUAGGCGGUUUGGUAAGUUGGAUGUGAAAUCCUGUGGCUCAACCACAUGGACUGUGUCCAAAACUACCAAACUUGAGCAUAGUAGAGGCAAGUGGAAUUUGCGGUGUAGGAGUGACAUCCGUAGAUAUCGCAAGGAACACCAAUGGCGAAGGCAGCUUGCUGGGCUAUUGCUGACGCUCAGGUACGAAAGCGUGGGGAGCGAACGGGAUUAGAUACCCCGGUAGUCCACGCCGUAAACGAUGAUCACUAACAGUAUGGAGAUUCGACCCUCUGUGUUGUAAAGCUAACGCGUUAAGUGAUCCGCCUGGGGAGUACGGGCGCAAGCUUAAACUCAAAGGAAUUGACGG